UGAGGAAUAUUGGUCAAUGGACGCAAGUCUGAACCAGCCAAGUAGCGUGCAGGAUGACGGCCCUAUGGGUUGUAAACUGCUUUUAUAUGGGGAUAAAGUGGGGAACGUGUUCCCUUUUGCAGGUACCAUAUGAAUAAGGACCGGCUAAUUCCGUGCCAGCAGCCGUGGUAAUACGGAAGGUUCGGGCGUUAUCCGGAUUUAUUGGGUUUAAAGGGAGCGUAGGCCGUUUGGUAAGCGUGUUGUGAAAUGUAGGAGCUCAACUUCUAGAUUGCAGCGCGAACUGUCAGACUUGAGUGCGCACAACGUAGGCGGAAUUCAUGGUGUAGCGGUGAAAUGCUUAGAUAUCAUGAAGAACUCCGAUUGCGAAGGCAGCUUACGGGGGCGCAACUGACGCUGAAGCUCGAAGGGGCGGGUAUCGAACAGG
rnacentral:rRNA from 1 species